rnacentral:rRNA from 1 species
UACAGAGGGUGCGAGCGUUGUCCGGAAUCACUGGGCGUAAAGGGCGCGUAGGUGGCCCGACAAGUCUGUGGUGAAAGCUCGAUGCUCAACAUCGAGUCGGCCAUAGAUACUGUUGGGCUGGAGCACUGUAGAGGCAGAUGGAAUUCCGGGUGUAGCGGUGGAAUGCGUAGAGAUCCGGAAGAACACCGGUGGCGAAGGCGGUCUGCUGGGCAGUAGCUGACACUGAGGCGCGACAGCGUGGGGAGCAAACAGG